UGUCGUUCUCAGGGCGGGGCGAAAUUCCCCACCGGCGGUAUGCGGGGCUUGAUCCCGCCAGCCCGCGAGCGGCCCCGGCCCACGUCCGGGGUGUCAGCAGAUCUGGUGAGAGACCAGAGCCGACGGUUACAGUCCGGAUGAAAGAGAACGCAC
rnacentral:ncRNA from 2 species